CGCGUAGGCGGCCUGCUAAGUCUGGAGUGAAAGUCCUGCUUUCAAGGUGGGAAUUGCUUUGGAUACUGGUGGGCUGGAGUGCAGGAGAGGAAAGCGGAAUUACCGGUGUAGCGGUGAAAUGCGUAGAGAUCGGUAGGAACACCAGUGGCGAAGGCGGCUUACUGGACGGUAACUGACGUUGAGGCUCGAAAGCGUGGGGAGCAAACA
rnacentral:rRNA from 1 species